GUUUCUGGACUAUGCUAGUUAAGUUAAGCGAGCAGGUGGGAUCAAACAAAUGGAUCCUAUUGUAUGUAACCUGAUGUCCUCCUGUUGCUGUGCCUCUUCCACCUGUCAUUUACGGAGUUUACUGAAAGCAGCCUGUGACUGCGAUCUACCGUAGCUGCACGUUAGCCCUGUUAGCUGCGCGCUAACAGCACCAGGACCAGAGCUGGGCCAGCAGGCCACAGAACGAGGCCCGGCAGCCUCCAUGGACAGCAUGACAGAGGACGAGAGACCGAAGACGACGCUCAGAGAGGAAGCUGGACAGGAGUGGCUUUUAGUCACUGCCUCGAAGUAGGAAUGAAAACUGCAGCACCACCUGGGGACCCCGAGCGAGCACCACCCUGCCGCCUCCCAGCAGCUUUGGUUUUGAUUCGUUCGACUGAAGCGAAGGAGUCCGGAGCUUUUGCUCAAGGGCAUUUCAAUAGCAGGUUCUUCAAAUGGUUUUCCCAUCAGAUACUCAGCGUUUCACAUUUUAGAGGCUCUGAAGUGUUUUCCAGCGGGGGAUCUGAACCAGCGACAGACCAGCCAUAAGCUCAGACAGGGUUUAUUUUUACAGAUACAGUACACUCAUGUCUUGACUCUACACUGGGGAGGAGUAUGUCCUACUGAUGCCAUGUCAGUAAAGCAGGCAGCGUGAACAAAUGAAGACUGCUCUGCUAUCUGUUGAUAAACUAUACAGACAAAAGUAUCCAGACACCUCUUCAUGGGGCUGUUCCUCAGGGUUUGUUCUCGGCCCCUGACUUCCAGUGAAGGGAAAUCUUAAU